rnacentral:rRNA from 1 species
GACGAACGCUGGCGGCGUGCUUAACACAUGCAAGUCGAACGGAAAGGCCCUGCUUUUGUGGGGUGCUCGAGUGGCGAACGGGUGAGUAACACGUGAGUAACCUGCCCUUGACUUUGGGAUAACUUCAGGAAACUGGGGCUAAUACCGGAUAGGAGCUCCUGCUGCAUGGUGGGGGUUGGAAAGUUUCGGCGGUUGGGGCUGGACUCGCGGCUUAUCAGCUUGUUAGUGGGGUAGUGGCUGACCAAGGCUUUGACGGGUAGCCGGCCUGAGAGGGUGACCAGCCACAUUGGGACUGAGAGACGGCCCAGACUCCUACGGGAGGCAGCAGUGGGGAAUAUUGCAGAAUGGGCGGAAGCCUGAUGCAGCAAUGCCGCGUGCGGGAUGACGGCCUUCGGGUUGUAAACCGCUGUCGCCUGUGACGAAGCGUGAGUGACGGUAAUGGGUAAAGAAGCACCGGCUAACUACGUG